ACGGGUGUAGCUCAACGGUCUAGAGCACCGGUCUCCAAAACCGGAGGUUGCAGGUUCGAAUCCUGCCGCCCGUGC
rnacentral:tRNA from 1 species